rnacentral:rRNA from 1 species
GGGGGAAACCCUGAUGCAGCGACGCAGCGUGCGGGAUGACGGCCUUCGGGUUGUAAACCGCUUUCAGCAGGGAAGAAGCCUUGAUCGGUGACGGUACCUGCAGAAGAAGUACCGGCUAACUACGUGCCAGCAGCCGCGGUAAUACGUAGGGUACAAGCGUUGUCCGGAAUUAUUGGGCGUAAAGAGCUCGUAGGUGGUUGGUCACGUCUGCUGUGGAAACGCAACGCUUAACGUUGCGCGUGCAGUGGGUACGGGCUGACUAGAGUGCAGUAGGGGAGUCUGGAAUUCCUGGUGUAGCGGUGAAAUGCGCAGAUAUCAGGAGGAACACCGGUGGCGAAGGCGGGACUCUGGGCUGUAACUGACACUGAGGAGCGAAAGCAUGGGGAGCGAACAGGAUUAGAUACCCUGGUAGUCCAUGCCGUAAACGUUGGGCACUAGGUGUGGGGGACAUUCCACGUUCUCCGCGCCGUAGCUAACGCAUUAAGUGCCCCGCCUGGGGAGUACGGUCGCAAGGCUAAAACUCAAAGGAAUUGACGGGGGCCCGCACAAGCGGCGGAGCAUGCGGAUUAAUUCGAUGCACG